rnacentral:rRNA from 1 species
GAUGAACGCUGGCGGCGUGCUUAACACAUGCAAGUCGAACGGAAAGGCCCAAGCUUGCUUGGGUGCUCGAGUGGCGAACGGGUGAGUAACACGUGGGUGAUCUGCCCUGCACUUUGGGAUAAGCCUGGGAAACUGGGUCUAAUACCGGAUAGGACCAUCGUUUAGUGUCGGUGGUGGAAAGUUUUUCGGUGUGGGAUGAGCUCGCGGCCUAUCAGCUUGUUGGUGGGGUAAUGGCCUACCAAGGCGUCGACGGGUAGGCGGCCUGAGAGGGUGUACGGCCACAUUGGGACUGAGAUACGGCCCAGACUCCUACGGGAGGCAGCAGUGGGGAAUAUUGCACAAUGGGCGCAAGCCUGAUGCAGCGACGCCGCGUGGGGGAUGACGGCCUUCGGGUUGUAAACUCCUUUCGCCAAGGACGAAGCGUUUUGUGACGGUACUUGGAGAAGAAGCACCGGCUAACUACGUG